rnacentral:rRNA from 1 species
UACGAAGGGGGCUAGCGUUGCUCGGAAUCACUGGGCGUAAAGCGCACGUAGGCGGAUUCUUAAGUCAGGGGUGAAAUCCUGGAGCUCAACUCCAGAACUGCCUUUGAUACUGGGAGUCUCGAGUCCGGGAGAGGUGAGUGGAACUGCGAGUGUAGAGGUGAAAUUCGUAGAUAUUCGCAAGAACACCAGUGGCGAAGGCGGCUCACUGGCCCGGUACUGACGCUGAGGUGCGAAAGCGUGGGAGCAAACAGGG